rnacentral:misc_RNA from 1 species
GGGGGCUGCUUAUUCCAAUUUUGCGAAUGGGGGAAAUGUGUAUAUUUCAAUUUCUGACGUGCUAAUAAAAAAUGAGUAGAGGUGCAUUAUUCAUUUAUAACUGAAUAAGUGAACUAAUAAAAUUUGGUUAUUUUGAUAGGAGUAUGUUCAGUUUGGUUAGUUAUAGGUUCUUAUUCCUAAACUUUUCAGUUAUUCGUUUUUUGAUGAUUGGGUUAUUAAAGGUGAGAAGCAAAGGUCAGUGCUAUGUUGUUAUUAAAGGUAAGAAGUUUAAGUUGUUAUUGAUUUAGUUUAUUUCAAACUUUGAAAACGUUCAGUUUUCACUAUCAGUGAGUUGUAUAUCAACUAUGGGGAUCAAAUGUGGAAU